rnacentral:tmRNA from 1 species
GGGGGUGACAUGGCUUCGACGUGGGUGUUGACGCCGUUUGUCGCAUGCCGAGUUUGUCGCUGACUCGUUAAUCAGGCGGCAAAUUGCUAAUUGGCAACGACCAACUAGCCGCUGCUUAAUUAAGUAGCCGUCCUGGAGAGCUUCUCCCACGGGUUCUCUAAGGGCGCCAAUUUGUGGGAUCGGUGAGUGGUGGCAUCUCAGCACCAUGAUCCUAAACUUUACUGAGAUCAGCCUUUCGGUUGCCUUGUCUGCUGGGACGCCGAUUGGCGAAUCUAAAUAGCGGACUAAGCAUGUAGUGGCAUCGACUGAUCGCUUGCGGACGGGGGU